GACAUAAUAGUCAAGUGGUGAUGAAAACAGAUUAGAAAUCUGGUCCCUUCUCUCAGGGCAUAAGUUCAAACCCUACUGAUGACA